CAAGAAAAUUUAGUUGUAGGGGUUUUUUCUUGAAAAUAAGAAUUCUUAUAUAACUCGUUUUACUGUAGAUUAUAGCCUUCUAUAAUUCCUUCUAUAAUCCCAAACAAGAGACCUAUCCUGUCAGGUAAAAAAUGUAUUUUUGCUCAAAAACCUUCUUUUGGAGAUUUUCGUUUCACAUAAUGGAAUUGCAAUUUAUGCAUCUUCGAAUGGCGGACAUAGAUUUUGUAUUUCCUAUAGCGAGUAAGCUUCUGUCAAAUAAUAUCACUCACUUCCCUGUUUUUAAUCACAAUACCAAACUUUACUUUCACACCAUGGACUGUGUAGCGUUCAAUUUCAUUGCAGCACAAAAUACUUCGUAUAGUAAUUUGGGUUGCCUACUGAUUUCGAGUUCGACGAAUUUAAAUUAUCUCGGGGAAUGUUUAUCGGUUUUUUUUUCCAUAUGUGCCAGAUACGGUAAUUUCCUUCAAGAAAGAAUUUACUUUCGUACUUCGAAAUUGGGAAAGUAGAUAUUUCGAUUUAUUCUGUGGAAAUCCAAGAGUUUUGGGAUAAAAAUAUUUUCCUGAUUUCUUUCAAUAUUGUAUUGCGAGUUGGUUAUUUGAUGAAGCAAUAUAAUACCCAAAUUUGGGGAUCAUUGGAGUGUAUUGAAAGAGUAUCUUUCUCCAUUAGGCCACACAACAUCAAAGGCCUUUUUUUUUCCCGACUUUUUCUUCUUGAGUUUACGUUUGGAAUAUAACGUAAAAUAUAAGAGUGCUGUCGACAGAGAAUUCAAUUUACCUAAGAUCCAAGAACAUCAAGGAUACUGAACGAGCGCUGCAGAUUUUUGGUUUAUGUUCAAUUUUUGUCUUCACGAGUUUGGACUCACAGGAUUGAGAAUUGGUGACGUAGUUUUAAUAAUAGUUUCAAUCCUGCUGUUCAUCAAACUGAUUGAAUAUAGGAUUCCUAGAAUAACUAGGCACUUAUAUUGACCAUACUCUGCCCAUAGGUUUCAACACUCGAAACGUCGUAAAACUUUUUUUUUAUGACAUGUUUGGGAGUUUAUCGCCAUUUCGAAUAUUCUGAAGAUAUUGAAGUUUUCCUGAAGAAAUUUGUCCAGAAGAAUUAUUCAGAGGAGUGUGACCCACUGGUUUCACCAUUUUUUCCAUGAAAAUCACCGCAACUCAUAAAGCAAGGUAUGGUAUUCUGCCUAAUUCAAUAUAAAAAACUUGUGAGUAUCUGAGUGGCAUAUAAAUUUGGAUUCAUUAUUAUUUCAAUAGGUAUUUGGACAAACAUACAUAUUUUCAAUGUAAACACCAAUAAGGUACAUACAUGUAGAAAGAUAUUUUUAUUACCCUUGAUUAACUUUUGACGUUGUUGUUGCUGUUCUAUUGUUGUUCCUAUUGUUUGAAUAAUGAGAAACUGAUAGAAAAUGGGAAUGCUAGGGAGUUGUCAAUUUAGACGGAAAUUGAAAAAAUACUUUAGUAUUCAGUUCUUCAAAAAUUUGUUGAAAAGUGUUGAAAAAUAACAUCAGUCGAGACGCGACC